UGUGGAGUUGAUCACAGGAACUUAUGGAUAUAUAUAGAAAAAGGUUACAAACCAGUGUAACAACUUCUUCAAAAAGCAAACUCUCAUGCUUCCAUGCGAGUGAUUUGUACAUGAUAUACUUCCUCUUCUAACUUUGGAUCUUCAACACACUGUUCUUUGCCUUCUGCAUUUCUCUCGUUCUCGGGUUCGCUUCCUUCGUCAUCCAUGUCAGUGCCCGUGCACUGCUGUAUUCACAAAUGUAUAUGAUACAUUAGUGUUGAAAACAAGUUUAAAAAAGAGGAGGGUAGGACAAAGUAUGACAUAGAAGAAACUAAAAUCAUGGCACUAGCUAGAAGAGAAUUUCUACUGCUAGUUUGUUAAUCAGCAUAUCAUGAUCCCCCCUGGUGCACAAAAAAACUGCUAGCAGCACCAUCUCUAAGACUAAACAGAUGCACAUUUCAAAAAAAAUGAUGUCAACACCAUCUCUGAGGCCCAUUUGUGUAGUUAAAUGACAUGAAAAACUUUCACUCCUCUGUCAGUUCUUCGUUCCUUCUCUAAUGCUUCAUACAACGUCACAACUUCUUCAUACAGCAAACCCUAUGAUGCUUCAGUGUCAGUGAUCUCUCUCCUCUAAAUUUGUAUCUUCAAGACCCUGCUCUCUGCCUUCGUCUUCAAUAUUUUUACCUGUAUGUGGUUGUAUUCAUAAAAAUGUAUAUGAUACAUUAGUGUUGCAGGUAAAUUGUAUCGUUAGGAACAUACUCUAGGCGAAAGAGAAACAACAAUACAAGACAUAUAUGUUGCAGGUAACUUCUUUGUUUGCUCGUGUUUACGGAAAUCCAUCAAAAGACAUGUAGAUAAAUGACAGCACAAAAGACUAAGCAUACAAGGUGAUGCAAUUAACAUACCACACUGUUAAGCCAAUCUCUUGUUUCAGCUUUAGCCUUCUCCCCAGGAUCCUGUGUGAAAAUAAGAAUUGAUGAUAAGACUCAUAACAACUGUAGAAAAAAGUGGUUAAAAUCAAACACAGGAAAGAGACCGAGUGCAUAGAGUUUUAGGCUGUUGACAUGCUCCUUCUUUCAAGGAGGCCUCAGUUUUAGUUUCUAUCUUGUGUUCAAUCUGCUUGUGGGCAUCCAUGAGAGUCUGCUCAUAAAAAAGGCAUUAACUUAUGUCAACAUAUAUCACAAAUUGAUUUAACACAGAACAAAAAAAACUAUGCAAUGCUUUAGAAAUGUUAACAUGUAACGGAAAAGAAGUUGGCUCAGCCACCACAAAAAAUUGAAAAUAAAAAGAGUAAUUGCUUCUAUAAAACUGAACACCUAUAACCAGGAAAACUGCCAUAUUUCUUCAGACAUUAUUAGACGAUGAGAUCUCCCAACUAAAAUCCAUUUAAAGCCCAUCAUCUAAGUUCUUCACCUCUUAAUACCUCUCAAGUUCUAACAAAUGUCAAAGACAAAAUACAGAGGCACUGAAAAGUGGAGUUGCCACUUAACUUGCCCCAACACCUGUAAAAUAACAUAUUUCCUCCAUAUAACUUAGCACUAAAGCACCAUCUAAAAACACUAAUUAGACCCCCUAAAAAUCAGGAUUCACACAAAGGAAAAAAGGCACCAAAAAUUCCAAAUAAUCUGCACUAGCAAAUCCCUCAAAAAACAUGAUCUGUGCCCUAAUCAGGAACCCUAGCCAACAAAAAAUGGAGGACCCGCUACUCGAUUUGGGCUCGCGCCCAUGAUGUUUGUCAGCCUCUGUGGUUUGACACACACAAAAUCAUACCAUACUCCAUGCAUUUCAGCAGGCCCAUUUUCAACGGAACUGAUAGCUGUUGUCGUCGCAGCUGACCUAAGAGAUCCCGAAACUUGGAGUGAGCUAGAGUUGCAGUGAACUACUAGGACAAGUGAGCCGGACACUCCAGUCCAGGGGACAAGCAAAAGAGAUGCUACUGAGAUACUCCCUCCGUCCCAAAAUAUAGUAUAAAAGAUAGUACCAAGCAGUACAUCUGUAGUUUUAGAAAACUGAAUUCACAUGCACCAUUAUGCAUCAGCACUACUAAAGCUGAAGCUAUGGAGUGGAGGCAUGCAUGCAGGCAGGCUACACUCAAAGAUUCAUCAAUCCUACUACCCUAGUUACAUGAAUAACAACACAUCGAUCGAUCUCACUAAUUUCAGACUAUACACCAUGCAUUUCAGCAGGUCCAUUUUCAACAAAUAAAAAUCACCUGUGAGAAAAAACAAAUAUUGCUUUGAAAAAAAACACAUACAUACUCCAUUGGAAAAACAAAUGCAAAAAAGUUUGUACUUUGUAUAUGAUUUUAAAAAGAAUAAGAAAAGGGGGGGGAUCAUGAAAAUUGCCCCCUCCCCCUGCGCUCUGACCCCAAACACAAAGCUAAUUGUGAGAUCGGGGCACUUAUUUUGUGCUAACAAACAUGGCAAAUGGAGUUGUUACGAUGCUCGUGUGACGCACAACGGGGGUACAGGCACGCGGGGGCGGGGGGGUACCUUACCUGCUCCACAAAAACUGGCCCCCUCUCCCCACUGCCCCUUCCGGUAAAGUAAAAAAGCCUAUUCAUAACUAUGUUGGUAAAAGACGUGCAGACUAGUCCGGGGACAAUGCUUACAAUUGCAUGAAUAGUUGCCCUCUCUCCCCAUCGUCCC
rnacentral:lncRNA from 1 species